rnacentral:lncRNA from 1 species
GCGGAGGAGGCCCCAGUGCCACAGCCCAGGGCCCCCGAGAGCUCUGGGAGCCCGGGGCAAAUGCUAGAAAUUUGCUUAGAACGUCCGGGUCCCACGGAAGGCGCCCUUGCCGCCCUCUCUCGGGUCGUAGCUCCCUGACGCUGGGGCGCAACCCCUUCGCUCCUCCUCCCCGCUGGCCGCGGCCGGGCUUCCCCAGCUCUUGCUGCUUCGGGCCUGUGACUUCUGCAACCCCGGGCUGGGGGCCGCGGGGUCUCAGGGCCGGUGACGCCGCACUGGGAGCCGCCCCAAAGAGGUUACUCACCUCCCUCGUCCCGCACAUUAUUCUGACCCAAGAGCCUCCACCCCACACGGGAUUUUGCGCGUCGUCCACGCCCGGCCGGCGGCCUUUGCUGCUCCCAGCCCUGCGCGGCUUUGGUCCCAGCCUCGGUGGCCCCUGUGCCAAACCGGGGACAGGCGGAAGGGAGUCUCCUAGGGACCCUAAGUAGCCUGGGGCCAACAACCCCUUUCCUCUCUGCUCUCCCCUCAAAACAAGUUUCAGGAUCUUGCAGGCCUCGCGGCGUCGUUCUUCGUUGUGGCGGCCUGUGGCUCUUUGAAAAACACGACGAGGCCUGCAAAAUGCGUUUUUCUUUUUUUCCUUUACGCAUGUAACCACGGUCCUGCAUCGUGAAACGGUACGCGCGUCGGUGGCAAAAGAAAAACAGCAGUGGCUGCAAAGCUAAGGGCCCUCGCUUUCAGAGGAGAGAAUUUUCUUUCUCCAUGCGGGUGGAAAGUGGCCUCUGCGGGUCCAACCCCACUUCUUCUUGGGCCCGUGCGCUCCGGCUGCGCCGCAGGGACCGCGGACAGCUUCGCCAAGGCACUGCCUGCCCGCCCGGCUCCGGGUCCCCGCUCCCACUCCCAGCCGCGUGGCCCAACCUCUCCUGGGCUUCACUGCAAAUCACCCCUUCCUCUCCCGCCUCCUAAGUCUGUCGAGCAGACCUAGGGGCCGGCUACAGUUGGGAGGGCAACGGGAAAGAUCAAGCCACAAUCAUUCCGAAUUAUCGCCCCAGACACCUCCCUAGACUCUGGGGAACGAACGCGUGCUGAGCCUCCCCGCCGCUUUGGAGACGGGGCUAGAUUUUCGUUGCCUCCGGCUCUCGACAGGUGCAAAACAAUGAAUUCCAAGCCUCGGAAGCAAAGAAGCUUAGGAUCCGACGGUGGCCGCAAGAUCUCAUCAUGGAUCUGACCCCUGCUCAGCGCGCGCCAUUUCGUCGUUGCCAAACGAAAUCAAGCCCCGCGUGCGCUCCAGGGGCGAAGGACUCUGGACUCACCCCGACCACCGGGAGAGCUGGCCCCUACCCACCUCGGGACCUCACAGCACGCCCUCAGGCCGUGUCGAAAGGAAGGACGGCAAAGGUCCCUUACUGAACCUUUUAAGAGAGCCUGCGCCUGGCAGUUGUCGAUUGCGGACCCAGGCCCGCGCGCCCUCGGACGCGCUGGCACGAGCAGCAGAACUAGAGGAAAGCGAGUGAUCCAGCCUGGGCGCUCCCACCUCCGGGAACGUCUCCGAGAAGGCGCAGCGCGUCGUGGCCAGCUGAAAUUUAGCAUCAUAUUCCAUGGCGAUUUUCCACCAGUGGAAAUCACAGGUGUUCUCUGGUAUCACAGCGGGGUCAGGGAUGACCUGAAAUAUUGUUCAUGCUCAUCACAACUGCAUGGCCCACCGCGGGGUCUUGUCACUCAGUGAGUUCUUGAAGAGGCACAGACAAAUGGAGUUCAACAAAUGGAAAACAACUGCCUUUAAUUAGCUCCGAGGACUACAAAGGGAACAACGUUAUAAUAGCAGCAACUCCAAGGAAGCAGCCACAGCUCUCAGCUCUCAGACCUGGGGCUGCCGCUCAUCAUCAGCUACAGCUAGGUUUGAUGGGAGUGCCCCCAUUUCAGGGGACAGCAGGCCCCCUUCACUCCCCGACUCAGUCCCCAUCUGCAGCAGCACAGCCUUCCUUGGCCUCACCAGGGAAGAAGAACAGGCCCCGCUCUCAGACAAGCCUUCCCAGAAGCCUGAGGACUCAAACACCCAAAUGUGUCUGGGUCCCUGCCCCGAGCCGGCCACCCAGGCAGCAGCCCUGAAUCACUCGGUCAGCCAGCGGCAGGGCAGGCCAAUGGGCUGGAGGGUAGGCAGGCAGGCAGACCCACCUCUGCAUCUCUGCUGACUGCCUCGGCUGAGGAAAGGCAGCACCAGCCCCCAACCCUGAAGUUCUAGAUCUCAUGCAGCCUCUCUGUUCUGGAACCAUCCAGAGGCACUGCCCUUAUACAUGGUCCACCCCCAGGCUCAGACAAUGAGAAUUCCACAAGCAGAGGGGACUCUAUUUGGGGCACAGAGAGGUUAAGUAACUCCCCUCCUAAGGUCUCUCAGCAAGGAAGCCACUGAGCCGUGGGACUUGAGCUCAGGGACUCUUGAUCCCCAGUCUCAGGUGUCACAGCCCCAUCUGGGCUCCUGCUAGGGAGGAGGAAGGCAGCAGGGGGUGUCUGAGGCCAGGGUGCAUCAGCCCUAAAUGCCAGACAGAGGCAGGAGAAGUCUCCCCAUGAGUCCCAGCCCCAUUAGAGGCUCCAGGUCGGGGAUCCCAGACCCCCUAUCCUUGCUGGGAGACACAACCCAGAACUCUGCAUCCCUGCAGCCACCAAAAAAGGCAAAAGCUGCCCAGAAACACUUUCUCCUCUUCCGUGGCCAAAUCCACGAACUUUCUCGAGGUCUGUCCCCCUGCCCCGUGCAGGUCCAGCUUCAGUGCAGCCCAGCUCUGUGCAGUUUUCCACAAAAGCCUGUGGCUUCCUUCUCCUCCCUCUGCUUCUGAUACCCCAGGAGUUACACACAAAAUGUUGGCGGUGGUCUCCAGGAAGACCCCUGCAUCCCACAGCUCUCCCCAGAAGUUGCCAGCAGUGACCUCCUGAGCCCAGGUGGGGAGUCCCAGGCAGGACAGGGGCUGGGGCUGCAGGCCCUGGGGCCCUGUUAGUGAAGCAGCAAGCCGAGGGUCCCUGAGAGUUUCCCUUGGCCCCUCUGAGGGCUGCCCUUUGAGGUCUUGAGGUCUUGGAGUAUCCAUCGCCCCCACGGCUUACUGUCCCCACCAGCGGAGGAUGAAAGUGCCACAGCGAUGUUCCACGCCAAGAGACCACAGAGACCACCAACCCCUCUUCCCACCUCAGGCUUUCAGAGGCCAGCGGAUUUAGGCGGACAGGCUGUGCGCUUGAGGGCAGCCAGGGCGGUCAGUGGAGGGACGUGGUCCGGGGCCUGGCCACAGCUCCCCACCCAGGGCCCUGGGCUAUUGUUACUCACCGCGGAUGAAGGUCGGCGAGUAGGUCGGGAAGGAGUCGAAGAUGCUGUUCGAUGCCAUGCCCCGCUCUGAAGAAG